rnacentral:rRNA from 1 species
GAAAGGGCGCACGGUGGAUGCCUUGGCACUAGGAGCCGAAGAAGGACGGGACUAACACCGAUAUGCUUUGGGGAGCUGUACGUAAGCGUUGAUCCAGAGAUUUCCGAAUGGGGGAACCCACUAUCUUUAGUCGGAUAGUAUCCUUACGUGAAUACAUAGCGUGAGGAAGGCAGACCCAGGGAACUGAAACAUCUAAGUACCUGGAGGAAGAGAAAGAAAAAUCGAUUUCCUGAGUAGCGGCGAGCGAAACGGAAAGAGCCCAAACCAAGAAGCUUGCUUCUUGGGGUUGUAGGACACUCUAUACGGAGUUACAAAAGAAAGUUAUAAAUGAAGCGGUCUGGAAAGGCCCGCCAAAGACGGUAACAGCCCGGUAGUUGAAAUGGCUUUCCCUCCAGAGUGGAUCCUGAGUACGGCGGAACACGUGAAAUUCCGUCGGAAUCCGGGAGGACCAUCUCCCAAGGCUAAAUACUCCCUAGUGACCGAUAGUGAACCAGUACCGUGAGGGAAAGGUGAAAAGCACCCCGGAAGGGGAGUGAAACAGUUCCUGAAACCGUGUGCCUACAAGUAGUUAGAGCCCGUUAAUGGGUGAUAGCGUGCCUUUUGUAGAAUGAACCGGCGAGUUACGAUUUGUUGCAAGGUUAAGCGGAAAAAGCGGAGCCGUAGCGAAAGCGAGUCUGAAUAGGGCGCAUAAGUAACAGGUCGUAGACCCGAAACCAGGUGAUCUACCCAUGUCCAGGAUGAAGGUAAGGUAAUACUUACUGGAGGUCCGAACCCACGCACGUUGAAAAGUGCGGGGAUGAGGUGUGGGUAGCGGAGAAAUUCCAAUCGAACUUGGAGAUAGCUGGUUCUCUCCGAAAUAGCUUUAGGGCUAGCCUCGAGGUAAAGAGUCAUGGAGGUAGAGCACUGUUUGGACUAGGGGCCCUUCUCGGGUUACCGAAUUCAGAUAAACUCCGAAUGCCAUGUACUUAUACUCGGGAGUCAGACUGCGAGUGAUAAGAUCCGUAGUCGAAAGGGAAACAGCCCAGACCACCAGUUAAGGUCCCCAAAUAUAUGUUAAGUGGAAAAGGAUGUGGGGUUGCUUAGACAACCAGGAUGUUGGCUUAGAAGCAGCCACCAUUGAAAGAGUGCGUAAUAGCUCACUGGUCGAGUGACCCCGCGCCGAAAAUGUACCGGGGCUAAACAUAUUACCGAAACUGUGGAUGAACCUCUUNGAGGUUCGUGGUAGGAGAGCGUUCUAAGGGCGGUGAAGUCAGACCGGAAGGACUGGUGGAGCGCUUAGAAGUGAGAAUGCCGGUAUGAGUAGCGAAAGAAGGGUGAGAAUCCCUUCCACCGAAUAUCUAAGGUUUCCUGAGGAAGGCUCGUCCGCUCAGGGUUAGUCGGGACCUAAGCCGAGGCCGAUAGGCGUAGGCGAUGGACAACAGGUAGAGAUUCCUGUACCAGUGCUAAUUGUUUAACCGAUGGGGUGACACAGAAGGAUAGGGAAUCGCACGAAUGGAAAUGUGCGUCCAAGCAGUGAGUGUGAGAAGUAGGCAAAUCCGCUUCUCGCGAAGCAUGAGCUGUGAUGGGGAAGGAAAUUAAGUACGGAAGUUCCUGAUUUCACGCUGUCAAGAAAAGCCUCUAGGAAGAGUAGUACUGCCCGUACCGCAAACCGACACAGGUAGAUGAGGAGAGAAUCCUAAGGUGAGCGAGAGAACUCUCGUUAAGGAACUCGGCAAAAUGACCCCGUAACUUCGGGAGAAGGGGUGCUCUAUUAGGGUGCAAGCCCGAGAGAGCCGCAGUGAAUAGGCCCAGGCGACUGUUUAGCAAAAACACAGGUCUCUGCAAAACCGUAAGGUGACGUAUAGGGGCUGACGCCUGCCCGGUGCUGGAAGGUUAAGAGGAGUGCUUAGCUUCGGCGAAGGUACGAAUUGAAGCCCCAGUAAACGGCGGCCGUAACUAUAACGGUCCUAAGGUAGCGAAAUUCCUUGUCGGGUAAGUUCCGACCCGCACGAAAGGCGCAACGAUCUGGGCACUGUCUCAACGAGAGACUCGGUGAAAUUAUAGUACCUGUGAAGAUGCAGGUUACCCGCGACAGGACGGAAAGACCCCGUGGAGCUUUACUGCAACCUGAUAUGGAAUGUUUGUACCGCUUGUACAGGAUAGGUAGGAGCCGAAGAGACGUGUGCGCUAGCAUACGAGGAGGCAAUGGUGGGAUACUACCCUGGCUGUAUGACCAUUCUAACCCGCCACGCUUAGCGCGUGGGGAGACAGUGUCAGGUGGGCAGUUUGACUGGGGCGGUCGCCUCCUAAAGAGUAACGGAGGCGCCCAAAGGUUCCCUCAGAAUGGAUGGAAAUCAUUCGCAGAGUGUAAAGGCACAAGGGAGCUUGACUGCGAGACUGACAAGUCGAGCAGGGACGAAAGUCGGGCUUAGGGAUCCGGUGGUUCCGCAUGGAAGGGCCAUCGCUCAACGGAUAAAAGCUACCCCGGGGAUAACAGGCUUAUCUCCCCCAAGAGUCCACAUCGACGGGGAGGNGGAGGCGCCCAAAGGUUCCCUCAGAAUGGAUGGAAAUCAUUCGCAGAGUGUAAAGGCACAAGGGAGCUUGACUGCGAGACUGACAAGUCGAGCAGGGACGAAAGUCGGGCUUAGUGAUCCGGUGGUUCCGCAUGGAAGGGCCAUCGCUCAACGGAUAAAAGCUACCCCGGGGAUAACAGGCUUAUCUCCCCCAAGAGUCCACAUCGACGGGGAGGUUUGGCACCUCGAUGUCGGCUCGUCGCAUCCUGGGGCUGUAGUCGGUCCCAAGGGUUGGGCUGUUCGCCCAUUAAAGCGGCACGCGAGCUGGGUUCAGAACGUCGUGAGACAGUUCGGUCCCUAUCCGUCGCGGGCGCAGGAAAUUUGAGAGGAGCUGUCCUUAGUACGAGAGGACCGGGAUGGACACACCGCUGGUGUACCAGUUGUUCCGCCAGGAGCAUCGCUGGGUAGCUAUGUGUGGCAGGGAUAAACGCUGAAAGCAUCUAAGCGUGAAGCCCCCCUCAAGAUGAGAUUUCCCAUUUCUUCGGAAAGUAAGAUCCCUGAAAGAUGAUCAGGUAGAUAGGUUUGGAGUGGAAGUGUAGCGAUACAUGGAGCGGACAAAUACUAAUCGAUCGAGGACUUAACC